CUAUCACUAAGAAAGGAGAAAAGCCAGAAAGGUAAAAAAGUGAGCUCACUUCUGCAGACAGUCUUCUCACUGGCUACACUGUGCUCUAUGCACACCCUGUACCAUCUGUGAAAUCAGUAGCCAAUCUCUUGGAGAAUCUUUCUUGCUCUGUGGCUUUGUAUUAAAACACUCACUUGUAACUAUUAA